rnacentral:rRNA from 1 species
UGAACAUACCUAUACGUUGCCUCGGCGGAUCAGCCCGCGCCCCGUAAAACGGGACGGCCCGCCCGAGGACCCCUAAACUCUGUUUUUAGUGGAACUUCUGAGUAAAACAAACAAAUAAAUCAAAACUUUCAACAACGGAUCUCUUGGUUCUGGCAUCGAUGAAGAACGCAGCAAAAUGCGAUAAGUAAUGUGAAUUGCAGAAUUCAGUGAAUCAUCGAAUCUUUGAACGCACAUUGCGCCCGCCAGUAUUCUGGCGGGCAUGCCUGUUCGAGCGUCAUUUCAACCCUCAAGCUCAGCUUGGUGUUGGGACUCGCGGUAACCCGCGUUCCCCAAAUCGAUUGGCGGUCACGUCGAGCUUCCAUAGCGUAGUAAUCAUACACCUCGUUACUGGUAAUCGUCGCGGCCACGCCGUAAAACCCCAACUUCUGAAUGUUGACCUCGGAUCAGGUAGGAAUACCCGCUGAACUUAAGCAAAU